rnacentral:sRNA from 1 species
ACCACGUCUAUGUAUCUUUGCUCCAUUGAAUCCAUCUUUCAGGGGCCAAUUUUCCAAGCCAUGUUUUAGGAUAGCUUCCCGCAACUGGGUAUUGCGAUUAUGGAUGAAUGGAUGAAUGGAUGACUGACCCUUGAGCUCAAAAUUCCCGCCGCGGAGUACCUCCCUGAGAUCUCAAGCUCUCCAUUCCUCGUGAAUGAGCUUCAUAUGAAGCCGUCCCAGACCUAACACCUCAAGACCAUUGCCCUGCCUCCGGCGCAAUGAAUCGCGCUCCCGGGUCUAUACCCUCUCCCCACCAUACAUCUACUACGAUGGUCGCGUCAGAUGAUUCUCACUCUGGAUAUGAAUACGAAUAUGAUGAUAACUCGCAAGAGACAUUCUACCUGAACCUCGACCUGACAACAUGCAAUGGUCCCAUUCGAGUUCCACGCAAGCGUGUUGCAUCUACACCCACUGCUCCCACCACAUCAUUAGACUCCCCGCAUGCCCCAUCUCUUAAUGCCGGUGACGAUCAGCAACAGGACAAUACCAACGCAGACACUGAUCCGGACACCCAAGACCAAGACCAAGACCAAGACCAAGACCAAGAUCAGGUCCAAGUGAUGGAUUUGCAUUCCGAGAAUCCCAUCAUCUCCUACCGAAACCAGGUCUUUUCUUGCUCAUGGGUUGACCUUGUCGGAACAGAGAUGACCUUCUCAAUGCCUGAAGAACGCUCCACACUUCCCCGCCUCCAACAGCAUCGAGACUACGAUCUUAUUUCCGCCAAUCGUGUUAAGAUCCUAGGUCACAAGGUGAACUUGAUUACCGGCUCCUCUGAAAUACCGAAGGCCAGUAAUGAUAAUAAUAAUAAUAAUAAUUCCAUCCCCACAUCUGCGCCAACACCUGACAAUGACGAAGUGUCAACUACCCCAACAGCAGCAGCAGCACUCCCCCGUGUCCCAUCCACAAACCAAGCCCUUUUCCUCGAGCGCCUCAUGAAUGCCAAACGCGCCAAGGGCGAGUCAGACAUCGUGCGCACCACCUUCUCCCAAAAGCGCAACCAGAACUUCGAAGCCAGGUUGCGUGGUUGGGCGCGCACGGGGGAGCAGAUGGCGGAGCUGGAAAUGCUUAACCGGCGUGUGCUGCAGGGUGAUGUGAAUGCGUUGAGAGAGCUGGAGGAUAUUUAUGCGCGUGCGGAG